GACGAACGCUGGCGGCGUGCUUAACACAUGCAAGUCGAACGGAAAGGCGCUGCGCUUGCUGGGCUCUCGAUUGCGGAACGGGUGUGUAACACGCGAGUAUCCCGUCCUUGUCUGUCUGAUAUCAUCUCGAAACACGGGCGAAUACCGCAGAUAAUCUCCUGCACCACGUGGGGGGAUGGAAAAAGUCGGCGGUUGUGUAUGGUCUCGCGGGUUACCAGCCUGUUGGGGGGGUAGGUGCUGUCCAAGGCUUCGACGGGUAGCCGGCCUGAGAGGGUGACCGGCGACCUUGGGACUGAGGUACGGCACAGACUGGUACGGGAGGCAACAGUGGGGAAUCUUGCAGAAUGGGCGGAAGCCUGAUGCAGAAACGCCGCGUGCGGGAUAACGGCCUUCGGGGUGUAAACCGAUUUCGCAUGUGACGAAGCGUGAGUGACGGUAAUGGAUAAAGAAGCACCGGCUAACUACGUG
rnacentral:rRNA from 1 species